rnacentral:rRNA from 1 species
CGUGCCUAACACAUGCAAGUCGAACGAAGCUUGACGGAUGAUUUCUUCGGAAUGAAACCUGAUAUGACUUAGUGGCGGACGGGUGAGUAACACGUGAGCAACCUGCCUUUCAGAGGGGGAUAACGGCUGGAAACGGUCGCUAAUACCGCAUGAUGUGUUCGGAUGGCAUCAUCUGAACAUCAAAGAUUUAUCGCUGAAAGAUGGGCUCGCGUCUGAUUAGAUAGUUGGUGGGGUAACGGCCUACCAAGUCUACGAUCAGUAGCCGGACUGAGAGGUUGAACGGCCACAUUGGGACUGAGAUACGGCCCAGACUCCUACGGGAGGCAGCAGUGGGGAAUAUUGCACAAUGGGGGAAACCCUGAUGCAGCAACGCCGCGUGAAGGAUGACGGUUUUCGGAUUGUAAACUUCUUUUCUUAGUGACGAAGACAGUGACGGUAGCUAAGGAAUAAGUAUCGGCUAACUACGUGCCAGCAGCCGCGGUAAUACGUAGGAUGCAAGCGUUAUCCGGAUUUACUGGGUGUAAAGGGAGCGCAGGCGGGACUGCAAGUUGGAUGUGAAAUACCGUGGCUUAACCACGGAACUGCAUCCAAAACUGUAGUUCUUGAGUGAAGUAGAGGCAAGCGGAAUUCCGAGUGUAGCGGUGAAAUGCGUAGAUAUUCGGAGGAACACCAGUGGCGAAGGCGGCUUGCUGGGCUUUAACUGACGCUGAGGCUCGAAAGUGUGGGGAGCAAACAGGAUUAGAUACCCUGGUAGUCCACACUGUAAACGAUGAUAGCUAGGUGUGGGGGGUCUGACCCCUUCCGUGCCGGAGUUAACGCAAUAAGCUAUCCACCUGGGGAGUACGACCGCAAGGUUGAAACUCAAAGGAAUUGACGG